AUUGAACGCUGGCGGCAGGCUUAACACAUGCAAGUCGAGCGGGGAGAUGUAGCUUGCUACAUUUCCUAGCGGCGGACGGGUGAGUAAUGCUUAGGAAUCUGCCUAUUAGUGGGGGACAACGUUUCGAAAGGAACGCUAAUACCGCAUACGCCCUACGGGGGAAAGCAGGGGAUCUUCGGACCUUGCGCUAAUAGAUGAGCCUAAGUCAGAUUAGCUAGUUGGUGGGGUAAAGGCCUACCAAGGCGACGAUCUGUAGCGGGUCUGAGAGGAUGAUCCGCCACACUGGGACUGAGACACGGCCCAGACUCCUACGGGAGGCAGCAGUGGGGAAUAUUGGACUAUGGGGGGAACCCUGAUCCAGCCAUGCCGCGUGUGUGAAGAAGGCCUUUUGGUUGUAAAGCACUUUAAGCGAGGAGGAGGCUACUAGUACUAAUACUACUGGAUAGUGGACGUUACUCGCAGAAUAAGCACCGGCUAACUCUGUGCCAGCCGCCGCAGUAA
rnacentral:rRNA from 1 species